rnacentral:rRNA from 1 species
CAGUCGCCGCGGUAAUACGGAGGGUGCAAGCGUUAAUCGGAAUUACUGGGCGUAAAGCGUGCGUAGGCGGCUUCUUAAGUCGGAUGUGAAAUCCCUGAGCUUAACUUAGGAAUUGCAUUCGAUACUGGGAAGCUAGAGUAUGGGAGAGGAUGGUAGAAUUCCAGGUGUAGCGGUGAAAUGCGUAGAGAUCUGGAGGAAUACCGAUGGCGAAGGCAGCCAUCUGGCCUAAUACUGACGCUGAGGUACGAAAGCAUGGGGAGCAAACAGGAUUAGAGACCCCAGUAGUCCCUGUCUCUUAUAC